CGACCGGCGCACGGGUGAGUAACGCGUAUCCAACCUGCCUUACACUCUUGGACAGCCUUCUGAAAGGGAGAUUAAUACAAGAUGUUAUCAUGAGUAAGCAUUUUCACAUGAUUAAAGGUUUACCGGGGUAAGAUGGGGAUGCGUUCCAUUAGAUAGUAGGCGGGGUAACGGCCCACUUAGUCUUCGAUGGAUAGGGGUUCUGAGAGGAAGGUCCCCCACAUUGGAACUGAGACACGGUCCAA
rnacentral:rRNA from 1 species